ensembl:lncRNA
GUGGCUUUCAGCAGAACACCUUAUCUGCUCUCGAGAGCUGUGACUCUUCAUCCUUUCCUUAUGAAGACCCAGGGGAUUGCUUACUUAGCAUCCACCAGAGGCAAUGGAUAGGGUGAGCAGUCACUGCAGCCAGAAAAGCCCAGCACGGAGCAAAGGCAAUUACCUCCGCACGCAGAGACUUUGGAGCUGAAUUGUGCUGAACGGAGAACCCCUCCGGCUGGCAGAGCCAUGUGCGGCCGAGAAGAGCAGCCACUUUCGCUCCGCUGAAAAGCAAUGCAGGAACCCUCGUGGUGUACGGUGCUGCUGGGUGCAAUCAUUAAGGCAAUGAGCAAACGCUCUCCACUUGUUGUCCAACUUUGAAGACGGGCAGAUCUACAAGAGCACACCAGGGAUAAGAACUGCUUUCAGGUCUGGGUGGACGUGAACCUGAGCGGAGCCUGAAGGCGUUAAAGCCACGCUGACCAACAAAACUUUUAAAAUAUGACUAUGGUGAGGAUUUUAGCUCCACGAUGCUGCCAUGCCGGGAUGUGACAGGCUUCCCACCCAGGUCUGGAAGUGACAGCGCCAACAUUUGCAGCUCUGGGGGAAAAGAAACAUCUUUUAAAGCAUCGUGCCUAGGUAAGAAUGAAGGUGAAAUUCAGCCACGCUGUUCAGCACAAGCAUUACAGAGCACCCAUAACAGAGGCUGCCAACUCAUCUCUGUCUGCUGGUGUACACAAAGUCAUAG